GGGGGGGGGGGGGCUAGGAUGAAAAAUUGUGUCCUGCCUUUUUUUUUAGUUGUAAUCUCUGUCCUGCCUUUUUAUUUUUCAGUCCAUUCGGUCCUGCCUUUUUUUUCUUAGCUUAUCCUGACUUUUUUACAACAAUUGUCAUCCUGCUUUUUUUUUUGCCAAGUUACUCAUCCUGCCUUUUUUUUUUUUACUCAAAAUCCUGUCCUGCCUUUUUUUCAAAUUUCAAUCC
rnacentral:lncRNA from 1 species